GAUGAACGCUGGCGGCGUGCCUAAUACAUGCAAGUCGAGCGAACAGACGAGGAGCUUGCUCCUCUGACGUUAGCGGCGGACGGGUGAGUAACACGUGGAUAACCUACCUAUAAGACUGGGAUAACUUCGGGAAACCGGAGCUAAUACCGGAUAAUAUAUUGAACCGCAUGGUUCAAUAGUGAAAGACGGUUUUGCUGUCACUUAUAGAUGGAUCCGCGCCGCAUUAGCUAGUUGGUAAGGUAACGGCUUACCAAGGCAACGAUGCGUAGCCGACCUGAGAGGGUGUUCGGCCACACUGGAACUGAGACUCGGUCCAGACUCCUACGGGAGGCAGCAGUAGGGAAUCUUCCGCAAUGGGCGAAAGCCUGACGGAGCAACGCCGCGUGAGUGAUGAAGGUCUUCGGAUCGUAAAGCUCUGUUAUUAGGGAAGAACAAAUGUGUAAGUAACUAUGCACGUCUUGACGGUACCUAAUCAGAAAGCCACGGCUAACUACGUG
rnacentral:rRNA from 1 species